UGGGGAAUAUUGGACAAUGGGGGAAACCCUGAUCCAGCGACGCCGCGUGUGUGAAGAAGGCCUGCGGGUUGUAAAGCACUUUCGGUGGGAACGAAAUAUGCCGGGCUAAUACCCCGGUAGGCUGACGUUACUCAAUGAAGAAGCACCGGCUAACUCUGUGCCAGCAGCCGCGGUAAUACAGAGGGUGCGAGCGUUAAUCGGAAUUACUGGGCGUAAAGUGCACGUAGGUGGCGACGUAAGUCGGGUGUGAAAGCCCCGGGCUCAACCUGGGAACCGCAUUCGAGACUGCGUUGCUGGAGUACGGAAGAGGAGGGCGGAAUUCCCGGUGUAGCGGUGAAAUGCGUAGAUAUCGGGAGGAACAUCAGUGGCGAAGGCGGCCCUCUGGUCCAGUACUGACACUCAAGUGCGAAAGCGUGGGGAGCAAACAGGAUUAGAUACCCCCGUAGUCCCUGAGCGGGCUGGCAAGGCGCAU
rnacentral:rRNA from 1 species